GGAUUUGGUAGAGAAACCCCGGACUGGGAUCAUGGCAGCCGAGACUUGGAACGUGGCCGGAGCAGAGGCCCCGCCGCCCCAGAAGCGCUACUACCGGCAACGUGCUCACUCCAACCCCAUGGCGGACCACACGCUGCGCUACCCUGUGAAGCCAGAGGAGAUGGACUGGUCUGAGCUAUACCCAGAGUUCUUCGCUCCACUCACUCAAAAUCAGAGCCACGAUGACCCAAAGGAUAAGAAUGAAAAGAGAGCUCAGGCCCAAGUGGAGUUUGCAGACAUAGGCUGUGGCUAUGGUGGCCUGUUAGACACUGGUGACAUCAGCAUGGAGAGUCUCCACCUACCCUCUACUCUGGGUCUGUGACCUUUGCCCUGGAGAGUGGAGGGGGCUGCCUCAAAUGCUUCUUAAAACCUGGGUUGUCCUUUCUGGCUUCAAUCCCUACAUGAGCCAUUUCAUCUGCCAGGUUCCGGGUCAGUGAGCUGGUCAGCACAAGCGUCAGAGAUCAGCCAUUGUGGCCAGUGAUCCUGAACUGUCUUUCUCAGGGAUUCUACCAUCUCCCCUCCCCUUUGCCCCUCCCUCGCCAGAUCUCAUUCCUUCUGCCCCACUCUCCUG
rnacentral:sRNA from 1 species